rnacentral:misc_RNA from 1 species
AAGUCGUAACAAGGUUUCCGUAGGUGAACCUGCGGAAGGAUCAUUAACACAAGUAAAAAACAUUUUACAACACCCUAUUAUGAAUUUAAAUUUUUUAAUUUUAAUUUUUUUAUAAAACUACAAAAAAAAUAUUUAAUUUAUUUGACUAACAUUUUUUUAAUUAAUUUAUUUAAAAUUUUAUAAAACAACUCUUAACAACGGAUAUCUUGGCUCUC